UGUUUUGUAGUUAUAAAAAACAAUUAUGCAAGCAAGCAUCAGAGAAAUACACAAGCUCUGAUGGAUAGGGCUUUUUCUUCCAACCAAUCAGCUGAGGUGCUGUCAUUCUGGAACGCGCUUUCAUGUUUCACAGGGUUCCGGUCUGAAAGCACAUUUUCCACUGUGCUAAAUAUGGAUCAAAUUUGUAAAAAUGACUAGCAAGCUAAAUGAUAUUCACAGAAUUUGAAAGCUACAAUACGGCAUUGGCCAGCUCCCUGUAGAAUCAAGACAAGACAAGAUGGGAUGGGGAAGAAGAUUAGAUGUGCAGUUGCUUCAUCUGGCUGAUGCAGUGCCCAGAUGAGAUGAGAGCUAACUGCUACACAGAAAAAAGAGUGAGAUCUCUCAGAUUCUAGCUUUUCCUGAAAUGUCAGCUAGCUAGUUGUUGAUGUUCUAGUGUCCGUUAAAUGUUACAGCCACAACAUCAUGAUCAUGUAGUCAUGCAUCUGCAGACCAGCGAAGAGGACAAAAGCCAGCGUUGAGUGAGCUAGCUAGAACAACAUCAUCAACUAGCUAGCUAUAAUAUCAGGUAAACAUUUUCAGGAAAAGCAUGAACAGAGCUAGCUACCUGUAGUAAUUGUAUUAUUUUCAACCACCUCAUUCAUAUAAUCUGUUUCUGUGUUACAUUCCAUAUUAUGUUUUAAUAUAUCUGCACUGUAUUGCUAUCUGUCUGUUGUACAAAUCAUCAGCAUGAAGAAUACUGAAUUCUGUUUGAAUUGUCAAGUGGACUGAAUUCUCAUUCAAAUAAUGUUAUGCCUCUCUUUCGGAUCUGCUAAGCACACCUCUGCUAGCCACACAACCACUGCCUCUGAGUGAUUGGGAGGACCUGAGCCCCUUGUCGUGCUGCCAUUCCGACUGCAGCUGUGGACCCCUGGCCUGAUUUCACAGGGCGUUCUACCUUGUCUCAGACUUCUGAUGGUCAAGUUUAGCCAGGACUCUCCUAAUGCUAUUUUGAAGUAGCACCAUGGAUGAAGGAGGGGGAGGAAAACAGCUUCUCUCUACCACACCUUCACCAAGUCAUCCAAUGUUUGCUUCAUGAAUCAUUUUUGCAUCUUCUAAAAUAAAUAUACAAUAUAAUUAGAA